rnacentral:rRNA from 1 species
UCCUCGGGGGGCAGCAGUGGGGAAUAUUGGGCAAUGGGCGAAAGCCUGACCCAGCGACGCCGCGUGAGGGAAGAAGGUCUUCGGAUUGUAAACCUCUUUCAGCAGGGAAGAAGAAAGUGACGGUACCUGCAGAAGAAGUCACGGCUAACUACGUGCCAGCAGCCGCGGUAAUACGUAGGUGGCGAGCGGUAUCCGGAAUUACUGGGUGUAAAGGGUGUGUAGGCGGGAGUGCAAGUCAGACGUGAAAACUAUGGGCUCAACCCAUAACGUGCGUUUGAAACUGUGCUUCUUGAGAUUGGGAGAGG